AAUAUAUGACGUGUUAACUUUUUCUCAUAUGUUUAACCAUUCGUCUUAUUUAAAAAAUUUACGUAAUUAUAAUUUAUUUUGCUAUGAGUUGUUUUAUCACUCAUAGUACUUUAAGUGUGAUUUAUAUCUUAUACAUUUGCAUAAAAAUUUUUGAAUAAGACGAAUGGUCAAACAUGUGAGAAAAAAUCAACGGCGUCAUCUAUU
rfam:Oryza sativa Japonica Group DNA, chromosome 9, cultivar: Nipponbare, complete sequence.